GGCCGGUUGGCCCAAUGGCAAGGCGUCUGACUACGAUUCAUCAAGUCAUCAGGAGAUUCUGGGUUCGACCCCCAGGCUGGUCA
rnacentral:tRNA from 1 species